UUAUGACUAAGAAUUAAAAACACAGACUCAAAUUAAUUAGAUGCUCUAAUUAGAAGGUAUGCACUUGGAGGCAUUACCCGCCUUCUUACUUGGAGGCCUUCCUUGCCUUUUUCCCAUGGCAAACCAUGGCGCUUGAAAAAUAAAAUUAAACAUGCAUGGGUCUCAACUUGUAAGUGAUGUGCCGAAACCGCCACUACCUACAACCGUGCCCUCAGGAUUUCCUCGGACCGUCCUUAUCAAUUGUAGUCUCUGCUCUCCCACGUUAAGUCCCUCCUUUUAGAAACAGCUUUUCUCGAUGGUGGCCUCCCCUGGAAGCUCUUCAACCUAUGGUGUGGAGUCGGUUCCCCGUCAGAAGGAAAUGCUUGCGUUAGGUCGUUAGACUGUUAAUUGUGACCAUGUUAUUCUGUCGAGCCUUUCCAUCGAGUUGUCAAAACAAUAUCAAAGUAGAAGAUGUUAAAUAUGAAACUACCAAGUUAUGCACUCUGCUAUUGUGGUUGUGAAGCUCGUACAGUCUACUUGAUGUUCGCACAAAAUUUCCUCCAGGCAACAAGACGAUGAGUUCAGUGCAAGUCUUCAGGCUGUAGGGCUAAUCAUAGGCAAAGAAGUCUGGACUUCCGUGGGUUUUCAUGAACGAUUUUGAAAUGAAGAAUAGUUGUUAAGUUAUUAUUUUUGCUAGAAGAGUAGCGUUGCAAAAGAGUAUUGCUGGGGAAGUAACUGGAGCACAUGCUACUAUUUUUACAGGAAAGAACCUAAAUGACCCAACUUAUGAAAUCUACAGAUGUUGCUUACGAAAUCGGUAGAGCCAUGCAUCUGCAAUUAUCUAUUAGCAACAUCAGGUUUGUGUUUGUAUCUCUUCUGCCAUCAUUUCUUGAUCAUUAUGUUAUUUCUUUUCUCAUCUCGAAUCCUUUUUGUUAUAGCCAUACAUUCUCUUUUGGUUUAAGAAGAUAAUAAUCCAGUUUCACUAAAUGCAUUUUCUAUAGCAGCAUAUUCUCUAAUAAUUCAAUCAUACUACGUACUGGUCUAUAAUUUCAUUUCUUUGGUCAUUAAUAUAGCUUUUCCCUGAGAUUGUUUCUCAUAGUGAACAACUCAUAAAAAUGAUUUAUAGGAAAUAUACAAGAAUGAUAGGGUACAUACUAAUGUCUUCUGUAACUUCCCUGUAUGGUUCAGGAUAAGCGUAUUGCAACAGAAGAUUCGAGGGCGAUAACGCGAGGAAGAAAAACUGUCUGUUGCGGGAGAAGAAAUUUUUGCCCCGUAGGCUUUCAGUUUAAAAGUUUCCAUUACAUACAAUUUCACUCUGUGCAUAUGAUACAUUUGUUAUCACUCGGUAUUCUGCUCAAGGGGAACUGAUACUUCUGCAUAUGAGAAUUCUUAUCCUUUUGACUAUGGCAUGCCUUUUGGUCCGCCCUGGCUUAGGUAGUUUGUGUCGACUCCUUGAUUCUUCAGUGAUUGCACCUAUUCAUGGAUUCAACAACAUACUGGAUUUGCUUUGUCCCAAGAUCAUGGAUACUUGAAUCGAAAAC
rnacentral:lncRNA from 1 species